rnacentral:rRNA from 1 species
UACGUAGGUCCCGAGCGUUGUCCGGAUUUAUUGGGCGUAAAGCGAGCGCAGGUGGUUUAUUAAGUCUGGUGUAAAAGGCAGUGGCUCAACCAUUGUAUGCAUUGGAAACUGGUGGUCUUGAGUGGAUGAGAAGUACGCGGAAUGCGUGGUGUAGCGGUGAAAUGCAUAGAUAUCACGCAGAACUCCGAUUGCGAAGGCAGCGUACCGGCAUCCAACUGACGCUGAGGCACGAAAGCGUGGGGAUCAAACAGG